AGAAAAGUUAACAAGGGCGUAUGGUGAAUGCCUUGGCACAAAAAGCCGAUGAAGGACGUAACAAGCUGCGAUAAGCGUGGAUGAGCUGCUAAUAAGCGUUAUUAGUCCACGAUCUCCGAAUGGGGAAACCCAUCCCUUUAUGGGAUAUCACAACACUGAAUACAUAGGUGUGUGAAUGGUAAGUCUGGGAACUGAAACAUCUUAGUACCAGGACGAAAAGAGACAAACAAUGUUAUUCCCUAAGUAGUGGCGAGCGAACAGGGAAGAGCCUAAACCUAGUACUGUUUAAAGGACUUCGGAUUCUGCUUUGCGGAGGAUGUAGUUCUUUAGCCGUUUUGGCGGUAUAACAGGCUAAGGGGUUGAAAGAUGUAAACGCUGCACUUCCAAUAGAGUGUAAAGUAAGUCAAAAAAUCUGUAGUUAGUAAAAUUCGAAUGGAAAGUCGAGCCAUAGUACGUAAUAGCCGUGUAUACGAAGGCUACAGAUCUUACUAGUUUAUAAUCUUAAGUACUACCACAUAGGUGUAAUUUGGUAGGAAUCAUCCUGACCCAUCAGGAAAGGCUAAAUACUUUUUGUGACCGAUAGCGAACAAGUACCGUGAGGGAAAGGUGAAAAGAACCCCUGUUAGGGGAGUGAAAUAGAACCUAAAACCGUACGCUUACAAACAGUAGGAGCUCACUUAUGUGAGUGACUGCGUGCCUAUUGAAGAAUGAGUCUGCGAGUUAAUAAGCACUGCCAGGCUAAGGAGUUCUGCUCUGGAGCCUAAGCGAAAGCAAGUCUGAAAAGGCGAUUAAGUAGUGUUUAUUAGACCCGAAGCCAGGUGAUCUAAUCAUGAGCAGGUUGAGUCCCGCAGAAAUGCGGGAGGAGGACCGAACGGUUUAACGUCGAAAAGUUAUCCGAUGACUUGUGAUUAGCGAUGAUACGUCAACCGAACCUGGCAAUAGCUGGCUCUCCCCGAAAUAGUUUUAGGACUAGCCUCGCUCAUUGAACCUGUAAGAGGUAGAGCACUGAUUAAGUCUUGGGGUUCUUCGGAACUACCAGACUUUCUCAAACUACGAAUGCUUACAGCGGAUAAGCGGGAGUCAGAGCAUGGGAGAUAAGUUCCAUUGCUCGAGAGGGAAACAGCCCAGAAUAUCGGAUAAGGUCCCUAAAUUUAUGCUAAGUGGUAAAGGAGGUAGAAUUUCUAUGACAACCAGGAGGUUUGCUUGGAGGCAGCCAUCCUUUAAAGAGUGCGUAACAGCUCACUGGUCAAGAAAUUCUGCGCCGACAAUUAUCGGGGCUCAAGCAUAAUACCGAAGCCAUAUCUUCUAGGGCGGAGUUCAUCCGCCGUAGUUGGGUAGGGGAGUGUUGUAUACACUGUGAAGCAGGACCGUAAGGUCUUGUGGAGUUUAUACAAGUACGGAUGCAGACAUGAGUAGCGAAAUCUCGAUGAAAAAUCUGGACACCGAAUGCUUAAGGUUUCCACAGCUACGCUAGUCGUCUGUGGGUUAGUCGGUCCUAAGCUGAGGCCGAAAGGCGUAGGCGAUGGAUAACAGGUUAAUAUUCCUGUACUUUAAUUGGUUCGUUAUUACUUAAGGAGCUUCGGGUGGGAUAGUUGGAGUGCUGUUUACAGCAUCUAAGUAACAAAGUAGGAAAGUUAGGUAAAUCCGGCUUUCCGUUUCCUGGAUUCGUCUGGGAUGUAUCUGAGUUGUUAUGGGUAGAGUUAGCUUAAGGGCUGGCUCAAGUUCAAUGAUUCUGCCUGCGGGAAAACCUUCUAUAGGAGACCCAAUUAAAACCGUACCGUAAACCGCCACAGGUAAGCUAGUAGAGAAUACUAAGGUGUACGAGUUAGUCCGUGUCAAGGAAUUCGGCAAAUUACUCCCGUAACUUUGGGAAAAGGGAGCCCUCUGGAGCGCAAGUUUUAGAGGGGGCACAAAAAUGAUCUAAUCGACUGUUUAACUAAAACACAGGUAUGUGCAAACCCGCAAGGGGACGUAUACAUACUGACGUCUGCCCAAUGCCAGAAUAUUACGGAAAGGAGUGAAGUGAGCUUCGGCUCAUCAGCUUCCGACCUAAGUACUGGUGAAUGGCGGCUGUAACCCUGACGGUCCUAAGGUAGCGAAAUUCCUCGGUGCUUGAUAGGCAUCCUGCACGAAAGACGUAACGAGUUAGAUACUGUCUUGACACGGAGCUCGGCGAAAAUGAAAUGGCUGUGAAGAUGCGGCCUUCCCAUAUCUGGACAAAAAGACCCCGGCAUCUUUACUGUAGCUAGGCAUUGAGAUAAAGCGAUAAUUGCAGAGCGUAGGAAGGAGACUUUGAAGCUUCCCUUUUGGGGGGAGUGGAGUCGCCAAUGUAACACUUCCUUUUUGUUGUUUUAUUUCUGAUUGGAGCCCUAAUCGGGCAACCAAAACAGUGUUUGGUGGGCAGUUUGACUGGGGCGGUCUCUUACUAAAGAGUAACGUAAGAUUUCAAAGGUCAUCUCAGGUUGUAUGGAAAUCAACCGAAGAGUACAAAGGCAUAAGAUGGCUUUACUGUGAGACAUACAAGUCGGACAGUUACGAAAGUAGGACUUAGUGACCUUUUUGUAGCGCAUGGAAGCGCAAUUGGUCAAAGGAUAAAAGUUACGCCGGGGAUAACAGGCUAGUCUUGCCUAAGCGUUCACAGCGACGGCAAGGUUCGGCACCUCGAUGUCGGCUCAUCACAUCCUGGGGGUGUAUCAGCUCCCAAGGGUUAGGCUGUUCGCCUAUUAAAGUGGUACGCGAGCUGGGUUCAGACCGAAGUAAUUCAGGUCGGUCUCUAUCCGAUAUGGGUGUUCUAAAUUUGAGGAGAUUAACCCUUAGUACGCAAGGACCAGGGUUAGGCAACCUCUGGUGCACCAGUUGUUCGUAAAACGAGCAUAGCUGGGUAGCUACGUUGCUAUUUGGAUAACUACUGAAAGCAUCUAAGUAGGAAGCUAACUCCAAAAUUAAAUUUAGUCACUAGGUUCCUGGUAGACUACCAGGUUGAUAGGUGUUAGGUGUAAGUGUAGCAAUACAUUAAGCCAAGACAUACUAAUAAACCGAAAAUUUUUCAGA
rnacentral:rRNA from 1 species